rnacentral:rRNA from 1 species
GACGAACGCUGGCGGCGUGCUUAACACAUGCAAGUCGAACGGAAAGGCCCUGCUUUUGUGGGGUUCUCGAUUGGCGAACGGGGGAGUAACACGUGAGUAACCUGCCCUUGACUUUGGGAUAACUUCAGGAAACUGGGGCUAAUACCGGAUAGGAUCUCUUGCUGCAUGGUGGGGGUUGGAAAGUUUCGGCGGUAGUGGAUGGACUCGCGGGUUAUCAGCUUGUUUGUGGGGUAGUGGCUUACCAAGGCUUUGACGGGUAGCCGGCCUGAGAGGGUGACCGGGGACAAUGGGACUGAGAUACGGAGCAGUAGGCUACGGGACGCAGCAGUGGAGAAUAUUGCACAACGGGCGGAAGCCUGAUGCAGCAACGCUGCGAGCGGGAAGACGGCCUUCGGGUUGUAAACAAAUUUGGACUGUGACGAGGCGUGCGUGACGGUAAUGGGUAAGGAAGCACCGGCUAACUACGUG